rnacentral:rRNA from 1 species
GACGAACGCUGGCGGCGUGCUUAACACAUGCAAGUCGAGUCGGUAAGGCCCUUCGGGGUACACGAGCGGCGAAACGGGUGAGUAACACGUGGGUGACCUGCCCUCAGCUCUGGGAUAAGCCGUGGGAAACUGGGUCUAAUACCGGAUAUGACUCCAUGACGCAUGUCGUGGGUGGAAAGCCUUGUGCGGCUGGGGGAUGGGCCCGCGGCCUAUCAGCUUGUUGGUGGGGUGAUGGCCUACCAAGGCGACGACGGGUAGCCGGCCUGA